AAGACUGUACUUUCAGGGAUCAUUUCUGUAGUUCGUUACUAGAGGGGUUUCUCUGGAUGUUGCAGAGCACCGAAACCAUCAGGAGGAGGCGGCACAGCGUUCUCUCCUGAGUGUGAAGCCGGCUUUUGGUGUUGCUUUUGCAACUACCAAUAGCCCUCGAUGACAGUUCUUCUCUUCCUUUGGAAGAGUAAGAAGAAGAGAACACAGUCCAGGUGGC